AUGCUUCAUGUAUUAAUGGUUUUUGGUGGUGGUUCGGUAUUGUUUUUGGAGUGGAGGAGGACAGUGGUGGAUCGAGGAAAGGCGGCAGAGGAAGGAGGAGGGUUUUUCCAGUUGUUGUGGCGGUUCGGUAGGGUUUGUGGUUGUGGUGUUUCAGUAUAUUUCAGUAUAUUUCAGUAUAUUUCGUUAUAUUUCAAUGUACUGUUUCAGUAUAUUUCAGUGUACUGUUUCAGUAUAUUUCGCUAUAUUUCAAUGUAUUUCUAAUUUACGACACAGUUUCUGAUA